AACCAAUGUGAAAACAUUCACUUUAUAUCAUUUUAUUUCAGCUUCUAGGCUAAGGGCUGUGAUACACUGACACAAUCCACAAAAGUCAAAACUCAGUUCGUUGGAAGGAAACAGAUUAUCAUUUAAGACACAGAACCUGAUGGAUAAUUCUGGAAGUUAAUGCUGCGGAGUCACAAGAAGGGUGAAAACCCUUCACAACUCAUGAUCAAGGAGGGGAGAUCUCACAGCCCUGCCCUGUGCAGUGGAAACAGGUAUGGUGAGGCUGACACUGCCUGACGGAAGCCCUCGGGUGGCUGAAACACCAAGAACACUGCCCUCCACGGUCAUCUCAACUGGCAAUCGGCUUUGCGUGAGAAAGAAAAAUAAACCUUGAUGUGUUAACUGCAA